GGAGCUGAUGCUAAGAGCCGGGCACACAACAAUCAGCCAUGGAAAGUAUCUCGUCGUGUUUGGAGGAUUCUCCUAUGAUCACAAGCUAUUCAAUGACGUCCAUACUCUCGACUUAACGACUGGUGUUUGGGCGACUUCGAAUCCCUCUGGUCCCGGGCCUUCUCCACGUUUCUCCCUUGCAGGAGAUUCCGUGGACGCAGAGCGAGGCAUAUGAUUCUUCUAUGGGGGAUGUAACGAAGAGCUUGAAGCUCUGGAUGACAUGUAUUUCCUCGACACAGAGAUGCUGAGGGAGAAAGAUCCAUCAGAACCAAAGCUAUCCAUGCGUAAGGAACUUAAGAGAAGGCGGCAAGAGUAUCAUGCCACGCCAUUCGUGCUAGACAAGCAACGGGAUGCAGACAAGAGCU